UUUAUUGGGCGUAAAGCGAGCGCAGGCGGUUAGAUAAGUCUGAAGUUAAAGGCUGNGGCUUAACCAUAGUACGCUUUGGAAACUGUUUAACUNGAGUGCAGAAGGGGAGAGUGGAAUUCCAUGUGUAGCGGUGAAAUGCGUAGAUAUAUAGAGGAACACCGGUGGCGAAAGCGGCUCUCUGGUCUGUAACUGACGCUGAGGCUCGAAAGCGUGGGGAGCGAACAGGAUUAGAUACCCUGGUAGUCCACGCCGUAAACGAUGAGUGCUAGGUGUUAGGCCCUUUCCGGGGCUUAGUGCCGCAGCUAACGCAUUAAGCACUCCGCCUGGGGAGUACGACCGCAAGGUUGAAACUCAAAGGAAUUGACGGGGGCCCGCACAAGCGGUGGAGCAUGUGGUUUAAUUCGAAGCAACGCGAAGAACCUUACCAGGUCUUGACAUCCCGAUGCCCGCUCUAGAGAUAGAGUUUUACUUCGGUACAUCGGUGACAGGUGGUGCAUGGUUGUCGUCAGCUCGUGUCGUGAGAUGUUGGGUUAAGUCCCGCAACGAGCGCAACCCUUAUUGUUAGUUGCCAUCAUUCAGUUGGGCACUCUAGCGAGACUGCCGGUAAUAAACCGGAGGAAGGUGGGGAUGACGUCAAAUCAUCAUGCCCCUUAUGACCUGGGCUACACACGUGCUACAAUGGCUGGUACAACGAGUCGCAAGUCGGUGACGGCAAGCUAAUCUCUUAAAGCCAGUCUCAGUUCGGAUUGUAGGCUGCAACUCGCCUACAUGAAGUCGGAAUCGCUAGUAAUCGCGGAUCAGCACGCCGCGGUGAAUACGUUCCCGGGCCUUGUACACACCGCCCGUCACACCACGAGAGUUUGUAACACCCGAAGUCGGUGAGGUAACCUUUUGGGANCCA
rnacentral:rRNA from 1 species